UACGUAGGGUGCAAGCGUUGUCCGGAAUUAUUGGGCGUAAAGCGCGCGUAGGCGGCUACUUAAGUCGGAUGUGAAAGCCCUUGGCUCAACUGAGGAAGUGCACCCGAAACUGAGUGGCUUGAGUACUAAAAGAGGGUCGCGGAAUUCCCGGUGUAGAGGUGAAAUUCGUAGAUAUCGGGAGGAACACCGGUGGCGAAGGCGGCGACCUGGGUAGAUACUGACGCUGAGGCGCGAAAGCUAGGGGAGCGAACAGG
rnacentral:rRNA from 1 species